GCGUCAGUAGUGUUACGGAUGGAGCACGCAUUCCCGGAGAGUGAGAUGCGGGUUCUAAUCCCGCUUGACGCG